rnacentral:rRNA from 1 species
UACAGAGGUCCCAAGCGUUGUUCGGAUUCAUUGGGCGUAAAGGGUGCGUAGGUGGCGUCGUAAGUCGGGUGUGAAAUCUCGGGGCUUAACUCCGAAACUGCAUUCGAUACUGCGGUGCUUGAGGACUGGAGAGGAGACUGGAAUUUACGGUGUAGCAGUGAAAUGCGUAGAGAUCGUAAGGAAGACCGUGGCGAAGGCGGGUCUCUGGACAGUUCCUGACACUGAGGCACGAAGGCCAGGGGAGCAAACGGG